UAUAAAUUAUAUUUUAAAUUUAUGAGAUAUUUUGUAUUGUCACAAAAAUAAUAAAUAUUGUCCAUAACCCACACAUAUGAUUUUGGUACAUAUACUUAAUAAUUAACUUAUAAUAAAAUAAUUAAUAUUAAUUUUUCUUUACUUAUCACUUCGAAGUAACGGUGCAAAUCAUCUGUGUCUUCGUCUCACUCGUCUCUCUCUCUGACAAUUUUGGAGUCCUUCUAUAUUCCAAUGACUUCUACAAAGGUCAACAAUCGAGGUUCGCCUGGAUCAAAAAGGUUUCGAAACAACGGGGUGAGAGUGGGGCGCACGAAGUAUAUCUGAUGUGUGUCCAGAGAAGUGUCUGAUGCCUGUCCAACUACUUGGAGAAGUGCAUGCGGUGUGUCCAAGCCCCCCCCCCCAAAAAAAAAUAAAAUUGGACACCGCAAAAACGUGUCAGACACGGUGUCCACUGCAUGUCCAAAGAGUGUGGGUGUUGGAAACGUGUCCAACACGUGGACACGACAUUCAUCGGAAGUGUCCGUUGCUAAAUGCAAUUGUAUUAUUAUUAUUAUUAUUAUCAAGUAUAUAGUAAUACAAGUAUACAACUAUUACCUAAACUUACUGAUUGGAGCUUGCUUAUUGAUUAGAUAUUUAUUGACUUUGAUUUAGGGUAAGUAAAGGGUUUCUACUUUCUAUACAAUGAAGAAUAGUAACAGUGAUAUUGCUAAUGCAAGGUUUGGGAGAGAAAUUUUUAUUUUUUUCAAUUUCUUUUCAGGAAGGUUACAUUGGAAGCUAAAUCAAAUAAACUUAUUGGGUGGACAUGCAAUAUUUGUUCUGACACAGUACCCUAUAUGCAUGUUCACAAAGUUAUAUUGCAUCAUUCAGAAGUCAUAAAAGUUGAUAUUAGCUGGGAAGCAUUGAUCAAACUAGUGCAGUGGUUUUAUUCUGAUAAUCUGCCUAAUCCUCCUUCUGGAUGCUUGUGGGAUAAUAUGGAUGAUGAAGAAAAGCUAUUCAAUCUACAACCAUAUGUGGAGCUUUGUUGGCUUGCUGAGUUUUGGAUUUUGGAAAAUAUUCUGGAAGCCUGCUGGAAGGUGAUUAUGUCUUGUCUUGAUAAUGAACAGUUUUUUAUUGUAUGCAUUUUUAUUCAAAUUCAUACUAUAAAAUCUGGAUGCUAUUAUCGCUUUGAGAA